CCUACGGGAGGCAGCAGUGAGGAAUAUUGGUCAAUGGGCGCGAGCCUGAACCAGCCAAGUCGCGUGAAGGAUGACUGCCCUACGGGUUGUAAACUUCUUUUAUCAAGGAACAAAACCCGGGACGUGUCCCUUUUUGCAUGUACUUUAUGAAUAAGCAUCGGCUAACUCCGUGCCAGCAGCCGCGGUAAUACGGAGGAUCCGAGCGUUAUCCGGAUUUAUUGGGUUUAAAGGGUGCGUAGAUGGGUUGUUAAGUCAGGUGUGAAAGUUUGCGGCUCAACCGUAAAAGUGCAAUUGAUACUGGCAGUAUUGAGUACAGGAGAGGUAGGCGGAAUGCGUGGUGUAGCGGUGAAAUGCAUAGAUAUCGCGAAGAACUCCGAUUGCGAAGGCAGCGUAC
rnacentral:rRNA from 1 species